rnacentral:rRNA from 1 species
CUACGGGUGGCAGCAGUGAGGAAUAUUGCACAAUGGAGGAAACUCUGAUGCAGCAACGCCGCGUGGAGGAUGACGCAUUUCGGUGUGUAAACUCCUUUUAUAUGUCAAGAAAAUGACGGUAGCAUAUGAAUAAGCUCCGGCUAACUCCGUGCCAGCAGCCGCGGUAAUACGGAGGGAGCAAGCGUUACUCGGAAUCACUGGGCGUAAAGGACGCGUAGGCGGGAUAGAAAGUCAGGUGUGAAAUCCUAUGGCCCAACCAUAGAACUGCACUUGAAACUUCUAACCUAGAGUAUGGGAGGGGAAGAUGGAAUUAGUGGUGUAGGGGUAAAAUCCGUAGAUAUCACUAGGAAUACCAAAAGCGAAGGCGAUCUUCUGGAACAAUACUGACGCUAAGGCGUGAAAGCGUGGGGAGCAAACAGGAUUAGAUACCCUGGUAGUC